rnacentral:tRNA from 1 species
GGGGUUGUGGCUCAGUGGUAGAGUGCUUGCCUCACAUGUAUGAGGCACUGGGUUCAAACCUCAGCACCA